rnacentral:tRNA from 1 species
GCUGCUGUAGCUCAGUGGUAGAGCACUUCCUUGGUAAGGAAGAGGCCAAGGGUUCAAUCCCCUUCAGCAGCUCCA